ACGCAAAAGCUGGCUUUACUGCAAGAGCUACAACUCGAGCAGUUACGAAAGUAGAAGUUAGUGAACCGACCACCUCAUAUAGGAGAGUGGAAGAUCAACGGAUAAAAGCUACUCCGGGGAUAACAGGCUGAUCGGACCCGAUAGUCCAUAUAGACGGUCCGGUUUGGCACCUCGAUGUCGGCUCAUCCUAUCCUGGGGCUGGAGCAGGUCCCAAGGGUUUGUCUGUUCGCCAAUUAAAAGGGUACGCGAGCUGGGUUCAGAACGUCGUGAGACAGUUUGGUCCUCAUCUGCUGUGAGCGUUUGGAAACUUGAGAGGGUCUGUCCCUAGUAAAUUUUUGCUACUUCACGGCGUAAUCCGUGAUGACAAUGCGGCUAAUAACGGUGGAACCUUCGUAGAGAUGACUGGUUUUACAGGCACACGCCUCAUCGGUCCCGAUGGCGUGUGGUAUGAUGGCUUGAGGACCAGCAUCUUUGAAAGGCAAUACCGUGGGAAGUCGAUCAAACAUCAACUUGAUGUUAGGUUUGACCCCGUAACGACUUGUUCAGAUUGGGAGCAUGCUCCGGACUGAACGGACUUUUGCAAGCUGGAAAGCUCAAUCACUUGAGCAGGUUUGCAGAGGUAAUACGCCGACACCCUCCUCUCCGCGGCGGAGACGGGUGAAGAUAUAGUCUACCCUCCUAGAAAUAGGGGACUAUGUGACGAGAGGACCGGGAUGGACGAACCGCUGGUGUAUGGGUUGUCACACCCCGUGGCAGCGCCCAGUAGCUAUGUUCGGUUCGGAUAACCGCUGAAAGCAUCUAAGCGGGAAGCCGGCCUCAAGAUAAGGUUUCUGUAAGGUCCGUGGGAGACCACCACGUUGAUAGGCCCGAGGUGGAAGGCGCGUAAGCGUCGGAGCCGUAGGGUACUAAUGACCGCAGUGUCCGGAGAA
rnacentral:rRNA from 1 species